rnacentral:rRNA from 1 species
UACGUAGGGCGCAAGCGUUGUCCGGAAUUAUUGGGCGUAAAGAGCUCGUAGGCGGUCUGUUGCGUCUGCUGUGAAAGCCCAGGGCUCAACCCUGGGUCUGCAGUGGAUACGGGCAGACUAGAGGUAGGUAGGGGAGAAUGGAAUUCCUGGUGUAGCGGUGGAAUGCGCAGAUAUCAGGAGGAACACCGGUGGCGAAGGCGAGUCUCUGGGCCGAUACUGACACUGAGGAGCGAAAGCGUGGGGAGCGAACAGG